UGGGGAAUAUUGCACAAUGGGCGCAAGCCUGAUGCAGCCAUGCCGCGUGUGUGAAGAAGGCCUUCGGGUUGUAAAGCACUUUCAGCGAGGAGGAAGGCAGUCGUGUUAAUAGCACGGUUGAUUGACGUUACUCGCAGAAGAAGCACCGGCUAACUCCGUGCCAGCAGCCGCGGUAAUACGGAGGGUGCAAGCGUUAAUCGGAAUUACUGGGCGUAAAGCGCACGCAGGCGGUUUGUUAAGUCAGAUGUGAAAUCCCCGCGCUUAACGUGGGAACUGCAUUUGAAACUGGCAAGCUAGAGUCUUGUAGAGGGGGGUAGAAUUCCAGGUGUAGCGGUGAAAUGCGUAGAGAUCUGGAGGAAUACCGGUGGCGAAGGCGGCCCCCCUGGACAAAGACUGACGCUCAGGUGCGAAAGCG
rnacentral:rRNA from 1 species